rnacentral:rRNA from 1 species
CGUGAGUGUCGGGUUAAGUCCCAUAACGAGCGCAACCCCUACUGCUAGUUGCCAGCGGGUCAUGCCGGGGACUCUAGCGGAACUGCCAGCGUAAGCUGCGAGGAAGGUGGGGAUGACGUCAAAUCAGCACGGCCCUUACGUCCAGGGCUACACACGUGUUACAAUGGCCAGUACAGAGGGCAGCCACCCCGCGAGGGGGCGCUAAUCCUAAAAGCUGGUCCCAGUUCGGAUCGGAGUCUGCAACCCGACUCCGUGAAGCUGGAUUCGCUAGUAAUCGCGCAUCAGCCACGGCGCGGUGAAUACGUUCCGGGCCUU